CACAGACUGAAGACACCAGGGGCUAUGAGAUGUUCUAAGAAGCUAAGAGAUAUGGGUUGCACUGCAGCUUUGGGAAUCAUUCUGAAGAUUACAUGGGAGACCACAUAUCAACAUUACAGCAGGAAUCCAGCUAUCGGGUCGUCUAGAUCCAAAACCAAGUGCUCGGUAUUGUAACCCUACGAUUCUCUAUUUUGAAGCAGAAGUAGGUUAAAACACCAACCACUGUAAAAUAGGUAGUUCAAAGUAGAUUUUGGAAGAUGUCAGUCAACAUCCCUUCCAACUCAGUGCCCAGUGGUGCCAGUCGUUUCCAAGUCCAUGUUAUAAAUGAGGGCCAUGGCAGUGGUGCAGCCAUGAGUGACAGCACGGACCCCCCACAUUAUGAAGAGACCUCUUUCGGGGAUGAAGCCCAAAACAGACUGAAAAUCAGCUUUAGGCCUGGGAAUCAGGAGUGCUAUGAAAAUUUUCUCCAAACUGGAGAGACUGCUAAAACAGACACCACGUUUCACGCCUAUGACUCUCACACAAACACAUAUUACCUACAAACCUUUGGCCACAACACCAUGGACGCCGUCCCCAAGAUUGAGUACUACCGCAACACCGGCAGUGUGAGCGGGCCCAAGGUCAACCGGCCGAGCCUGCAGGAGAUCCACGAGCAGCUAGCUAAGAAUGUGGCUGUGGCCCCUGGUUCAGCUGACAGGGUUGCUAAUGGAGAUGGGAUGCCUGGAGAUGAGCAAGCAGAAAACAAGGAAGAAGACGUGACUGGUGUUGUGAAGUUUGGAUGGGUGAAAGGUGUGCUGGUGAGGUGCAUGCUGAACAUCUGGGGAGUCAUGCUCUUCAUUCGCCUCUCCUGGAUUGUAGGAGAAGCGGGAAUUGGUCUUGGAGUCCUUAUAAUUCUUCUUUCCACCAUGGUAACCUCUAUCACUGGGUUGUCAACUUCUGCAAUAGCAACAAACGGGUUUGUUCGUGGAGGUGGAGCCUACUACCUGAUUUCCCGGAGCUUAGGGCCUGAGUUCGGUGGGUCAAUAGGCUUGAUUUUUGCUUUCGCCAAUGCAGUGGCUGUCGCUAUGUAUGUGGUGGGGUUCGCGGAGACUGUGGUAGACCUUCUUAAGGAGAGUGAUUCAAUGAUGGUGGAUCCAACCAAUGACAUCCGAAUAAUCGGUUCCAUCACGGUGGUGAUUCUUCUAGGGAUCUCAGUAGCUGGGAUGGAGUGGGAAGCUAAGGCUCAAGUGAUUCUCCUGGUCAUUCUACUCAUUGCUAUCGCAAACUUCUUCAUUGGAACUGUCAUCCCAUCCAACAACGAGAAGAAAUCCAGAGGCUUCUUCAACUACCAAGCAUCUAUAUUUGCGGAAAACUUUGGGCCAAGCUUCACAGAGGGAGAAGGCUUCUUCUCGGUCUUUGCUAUCUUUUUCCCAGCUGCUACUGGGAUUCUUGCUGGUGCCAACAUCUCUGGAGACCUGGAGGAUCCCCAGGACGCCAUCCCCAGAGGGACCAUGCUGGCCAUUUUCAUCACCACCGUCGCCUACAUAGGUGUUGCUAUUUGCGUAGCUGCCUGUGUGGUCCGAGACGCCACUGGGAGCAUGAACGACACUGUCGUUUCUGGGAUGAAUUGCAAUGGGUCCGCAGCCUGCGGACUGGGCUACGACUUCUCAAGAUGUCAGCAUGAGCCAUGCCAGUAUGGGUUGAUGAACAAUUUUCAGGUCAUGAGCAUGGUGUCCGGGUUCGGCCCCCUCAUCACCGCAGGGAUCUUUUCGGCAACACUGUCUUCGGCCCUAGCCUCCCUCGUCAGUGCACCCAAAGUAUUCCAGGCUCUGUGCAAGGACAACAUCUUCAAAGGACUUCAGUUCUUCGCAAAGGGCUAUGGGAAAAACAACGAGCCCCUGAGAGGGUACUUCCUCACUUUUGUGAUAGCCAUGGCAUUCAUUCUCAUCGCCGAGCUGAACGUCAUUGCACCUAUCAUAUCCAACUUCUUCCUGGCCUCAUAUGCGCUUAUUAAUUUCUCCUGCUUCCAUGCCUCGUAUGCCAAAUCGCCAGGAUGGAGGCCGGCAUAUGGGAUUUACAACAUGUGGGUAUCUCUCUUCGGAGCCAUUUUGUGCUGUGCAGUCAUGUUUGUCAUCAACUGGUGGGCGGCUGUCAUCACCUAUGUCAUUGAGCUCUUCCUCUAUAUCUAUGUGACUUAUAAGAAGCCAGAUGUGAACUGGGGCUCCUCCACACAGGCUCUGUCCUACGUGAGCGCUUUAGACAAUGCUCUGGAAUUAACCACAGUGGAAGACCAUGUGAAAAACUUCAGACCCCAGUGCAUUGUCUUAACAGGAGGACCCAUGACAAGACCUGCUCUCCUGGACAUAACCCAUGCCUUUACGAAGAAUAGUGGCCUCUGUAUCUGCUGCGAAGUCUUCGUGGGACCUCGCAAGCUGUGUGUUAAAGAGAUGAACAGUGGCAUGGCUAAAAAGCAGGCCUGGCUGAUGAAGAACAAAAUCAAGGCUUUUUAUGCUGCGGUGGCGGCAGACUGCUUCAGGGACGGUGUGCGGAGUCUCCUUCAGGCCUCAGGCCUGGGGAGAAUGAAGCCAAACACUCUAGUGAUUGGAUACAAAAAGAACUGGAGGAAAGCUCCCUUGUCUGAGCUUGAGAAUUACGUGGGAAUCAUACAUGACGCCUUUGACUUUGAGAUUGGUGUAGUCAUAGUCAGAAUCAGCCAAGGGUUUGACAUCUCUCCAGUUCUCCAGGUACAAGAUGAACUGGAGAAACUGGAACAGGAGAGACUGGCUCUGGAGGCCGCAAUCAAAGACAACGACUGUGAGGAGGGCAAGGGGGGCAUCCGAGGCUUGUUUAAGAAGGCCGGCAAACUGAACAUUACCAAGCCGGCCCCUAAAAAAGACAGCAACAUCAGCACCAUCCAGUCGAUGCACGUCGGGGAGUUCAAUCAGAAGCUGGUAGAAGCCAGCGCUCAGUUUAAAAAGAAACAGGGAAAAGGCACGAUCGAUGUUUGGUGGUUAUUUGAUGAUGGAGGGUUGACACUGCUUAUCCCAUAUAUCUUGACUCUCAGAAAGAAAUGGAAAGACUGUAAGUUAAGAAUCUAUGUUGGAGGAAAAAUCAACCGCAUUGAAGAGGAAAAAAUUUCAAUGGCUUCUCUUCUCAGCAAAUUUAGGAUAAAAUUUGCAGACAUUCAUAUAAUUGGAGACAUCAACAUUAAGCCAAACAAAGAGAGCUGGAAAGUCUUUGAAGAGAUGAUUGAACCUUAUAGGCUCCACGAAAGCCACAAAGAUUUGACCACUGCUGAGAAAUUAAAAAGAGAAAGUCCAUGGAAAAUUACAGAUGCAGAACUGGAAGCAGUCAAGGAAAAGAGUUACCGCCAAGUUCGACUGAACGAGCUGUUACAGGAGCAUUCCAGAGCCGCCAACCUCAUCGUAUUGAGCCUUCCAGUGGCGAGAAAAGGAUCUAUUUCGGAUUUGUUGUACAUGGCGUGGUUAGAAAUCCUGACCAAGAACCUCCCUCCUGUGCUACUGGUUAGAGGAAAUCACAAGAAUGUCCUGACAUUUUACUCUUAAAGCGCGAGGGAUGAGAAAUGUUGUACCUUGGUGUCCGAAUAAUUACAAAACGUGUCUGGUACUUUGUGUUUUAAAACCUCAUCUAUGAAUAUACAAACCUCUGGAGACUAUCCCACCUGAUUCUACAUAAAUUUCAUCUUUUUUAAAAAAGUUAUUAUUAAUGAGAGUUUUUUCCCACCAGUUUUAAAAACAUCGAAAACAUUUUUCCCUUGUCGCUGGUGAAUAAGAAAUUAAUAAGAGCUGGCUGACAUGCUUGCAGGAUGUGCUAAUGUAGAUGAGCUCCAGGCAAACGCAAUCUCUUGUUUCCGUGGAUUCUUCUGCAUGGCCCCGUGCAGGCCACAGGCCCAUAGCGGGCUCUCUUUAAGUUGUUAUUGACAGACUGGUGUGGUGAAAGCAGGCGGCUAUCAUAGGGAAAGACACACUGGGUCAGUGGCCUGAUUCUGCUUGGCCUCCUGAGAAGUUUGUGGAGAUUUAAAAAUCAAUAUCCGGAAACUGUAAGAAGGACUAGAGUCUACAAAGUGUUCAAAGCAGUUACCUAAAUUAAGGUUUAUUUAAUGCAGCCGAUAAUAAGCUUAACCUCUGAUCACACGUAGCUUGCAUUCGCUGCUAGCCAGAGGUACACUAGGUAGGUGAGCAAAGACACAUGUUCCACUUAGACGAAAUAGAGUCCCAACAUACAAAUAUCAAUUGUCUUCCUGGUUAAAUGUUUUGAAAUUUCUACCUUAAUACUACUUUAUCUUUUUUCUCUGAUUAAGUGGUUUGCAUAGACGAAAUAAAAAUAGACGAUCUCAUUGAAAAAUAAUCUCACAGGUUUCCAAUCCACUACUAAAAAUAUAUCCAGAUCCUACAUUUAUUUACUUUCUCUAUAUACAGGUAUAUGGGUUUUAUAGAAUAACAAGGAUAUAAGUGGAGAAACUUGUAAAAUUUUAAAACACAGGUGUUGAUUUUUCUUCUUGUUCGUGUGUGUAUAAUAUUUAAUCACAGAAAAAAUGCUUAUAUGAUAAAUGGCUUGGUUUUGGUUUUGUUGGCAUAUUUUGACUGUUCUGGGGAAGCUUGUGGGGGGCAAAUCAACCUGAAAUAAAAUUCUACUAAAAAAAAAAAAAA